rnacentral:rRNA from 1 species
CGGCGGACGGGCGAGUAACGCGUGGGUAACCUGCCUCAUACAGGGGGAUAACAGUUAGAAAUGACUGCUAAUACCGCAUAAGACCACGGUACCGCAUGGUACAGUGGUAAAAACUCCGGUGGUAUGAGAUGGACCCGCGUCUGAUUAGGUAGUUGGUGGGGUAACGGCCUACCAAGCCGACAAUCAGUAGCCGACCUGAGAGGGUGACCGGCCACAUUGGGACUGAGACACGGCCCAG